AUUGAACGCUGGCGGCAUGCUUUACACAUGCAAGUCGGACGGCAGCACAGAGGAGCUUGCUUCUUGGGUGGCGAGUGGCGAACGGGUGAGUAAUAUAUCGGAACGUACCGAGUAAUGGGGGAUAACUAAUCGAAAGAUUAGCUAAUACCGCAUAUUCUCUGAGGAGGAAAGCAGGGGACCUUCGGGCCUUGCGUUAUUCGAGCGGCCGAUAUCUGAUUAGCUAGUUGGUGGGGUAAAGGCCUACCAAGGCGACGAUCAGUAGCGGGUCUGAGAGGAUGAUCCGCCACACUGGGACUGAGACACGGCCCAGACUCCUACGGGAGGCAGCAGUGGGGAAUUUUGGACAAUGGGCGCAAGCCUGAUCCAGCCAUGCCGCGUGUCUGAAGAAGGCCUUCGGGUUGUAAAGGACUUUUGUCAGGGAAGAAAAGGCUGUUGCUAAUACCGACAGCUGAU
rnacentral:rRNA from 1 species